ensembl:snRNA U1 U1 spliceosomal RNA
AUCCUUACCUGGCAGGGGAGAUUGCAUGAGUGCGAAGGUGGUUUCCCCAGGGCGAGGCGUAUCUAUGCACUCUGGAUUGUGUUGACCACUGCGAUUUCCCCAAACGUGGGAAACUUGACUGCAUAAUUUGUGGUAGUGGGGGACUGCAUUCGCGCUCCCCCCUG